rnacentral:lncRNA from 1 species
AGCCUCCAUGAAGCCCUUAUGAAUGAUGGACCUUAGCCUUAGCCUUGGUCUCCUGGGCCUUAGGCACACCACCUGGAUCAUAACAAUCUCCACCUUGGUGUCCCAAGGCCUCAACCAGCUCCACUCUAUCCUUGCGACUGUAGACCCAUUUGCAGCUAAUGGGCCUCUUCCCCUAUGGUAACUGCACCAAUCGUCACGUCUGGUUCUGGUGGAG